AAAAAAGACAGACCCUGGUUCCAGUGUCCAACGUUUGACCGUCCGUCUUAUUUAAAAAAAUUAUGAAAAAAAAUUAAAAAGAUAAGUCACGCAUAAAGUAUUAAUCAUGUUUUAUCAUCUAACAACAAUAAAAAUACUAAUUAUAAAAAAAUUUCAUAUAAGACGGGCGGUCAAAUGUUGGCACGGAAAUCUAGGGUUUGUCUUUUU
rnacentral:pre_miRNA from 1 species